rnacentral:lncRNA from 1 species
AAACUUCCUUACUCCCCUACGUAGUUCAAACAAAAGCCACCUUGUCAAGUUACUUAAAAUUACCACCACCUUGUUAAUUGUUAUUUCCAAAUUUAAUUUUUAACUAGGAAUAUUUUCUUCUACUAGUACCAUUUUUGCACUAUAAAUUCAAGUUUAAUACAUUCAUAAAUCAUAAUAUUCAUCCAUCCUUUUGAUAACCAUCAUUGCAUAUUAUUGCACUAUGUAUCCACAGAACAAAACUGAACAAGUAAUGGGAGAAUUAGAAGGUUCCAACUUGAACAAAAUAGAAUCAUCGCAGCCACAGUCUCUGGACUAUGUUCUUGAAAAUGAAUCAGAUACUGAUGAGAACACUAUCACUAUCACUAUCAACCAUGAGACUAAUCAGCAACAGCUCAUUUCUCCACUUCAUGAUCUGAGUAUGUUUCUCACUCUUCUCUCUUUGUUUAAUUUUUAGAGAAUUUUGAAUGGAAGAAUAAACUAUUUUUAGUAUUUGUUUAUCGUAAUAAAAAUCAUUUAUAAAAAAUAUUUUUUAUGAAAAACUACUCAAACGGUAACAAAUGAGCUCAUAAUAUACACC